UACGUAGGGUGCGAGCGUUAAUCGGAAUUACUGGGCGUAAAGCGUGCGCAGGCGGUUCGUUGUGUCGGUGGUGAAAGCCCCGGGCUUAACCUGGGAAUGGCCAUGGAAACUGGCGAACUGGAGUGUGGCAGAGGGGGGUGGAAUUCCGCGUGUAGCAGUGAAAUGCGUAGAGAUCCGGAAGAACACCGGUGGCGAAGGCGGCCUGCUGGGCAGUUUUGCUGACACUGAGGCGCGACAGCGUGGGGAGCAAACAGG
rnacentral:rRNA from 1 species